GAAAUUCUGAACUGCUGCAUGAACUCGUGCAUGAACAUUCAUCAAACAUAUAAGGCUGCAAUUUGGAAAAACCUUCAGGCUAAUGCUGCUGAAACGUUGGUCAAGAGGACCAUGAAGAGGUGACACCAACUGGCAGAUCAUACCGUUUUUCAGGAGGCAGGCACACUGUUACAGUAAUCAGCUGAUCCAGUCGGUAUCCAAACCAGAAGGUGGACCUGCACCCAAGAAUGACCACAACACAUCCCAGAACAUGUCAGCUAGAUGACAGAUCCCUGUGAAGACCUCAUUGAUGGCCCCAGCACAGAUCAUCAACAAAUACUAUGAGAACCAGACAAGCCCUCUGCACGGACCCUUUUACCAGCUUCACCUGCUGGCAUGAUGUUUCUUCAAGCAAAAGAAGUUGGAUGAAAUAUUCUGAAUGAUAUCAAUCCACAAUCUGAUUUGUGAUGCAGCCCUGAAUAAUCACACCACGUUCAUUUGUUUGGCCAGAGGAGAACUGGUUUACUGACUGAGCCUGGUUUUGAUGUGGUUUGGGUUCUUUGCUACUGU